UACGGAGGGUGCGAGCGUUGUCCGGAAUCACUGGGCGUAAAGGGCGCGUAGGCGGUGGCCUAAGCGUGCGGUGAAAGCCUGGGGCUCAACCCCGGGUCGGCCGUGCGAACUGGGCGACUUGAGCACUGUAGAGGCAGGCGGAAUUCCGGGUGUAGCGGUGGAAUGCGUAGAGAUCCGGAAGAACACCGGUGGCGAAGGCGGCCUGCUGGGCAGUAGCUGACGCUGAGGCGCGACAGCGUGGGGAGCAAACAGG
rnacentral:rRNA from 1 species